AUCAGCAGCUUAUAGCCGCUAGCAGAGCUUAAAAUCCCGUCUAAUCUCGUACAAUAAAUAACCUAGCAAGCGCUGGAUUAGUAGUUGGGUCGGUGACGACCAGCGAAUACCUAGUGUUGUAUGUA
rnacentral:rRNA from 1 species